rnacentral:rRNA from 1 species
AUGAGGCACGCACGCAUCACGGUGGCGGUCGCCGUCGCAUUCGCCGUCCUCGCAGUCACCGCCGCAGCCUCCACGGGCGCCACCGCCGCCGGGAGGGGGAAGCAGCAGCGCGCUCCAGGCCCCGCUUCCGGCUGCAUCGUGUACAUCGUGAUGGUGAAGCCCCCGGCCGUCGCCGCCGACAGCGCGGCCUACCAUAUGGGCAUCCUCAUCGCCGCGGUCGGCAGAUUUGACGCCAUCCUUUCUCUUGUUUCGACUGAAUCUUCAAGCAAGGAGAAGGCCGAUGCGGCGUUGGUCUACAGCUACAAGAGCGCCAUCAGCGGGUUCGCCGCGAGGCUCACCCCCGCGCAGGUCGCCGUCCUCAGGAAGAACCCUGCCGUCAUCCGGGCGCAGCCUGAUGUCAAGUACUCCCUUCACGACGACCACAACAACAACAACAACAACCUCAACUGA